UUGUCCCUAAAUAUCCCUAAUUUAGGUCUCUAUGUAAGAGAAUAAACCUAGUUGAGACUAAACAUAAGACAAUGACCUUAAUCGCGUUUAAUCUUUAUACAAAAUGAUGAUAAAACAUAGAAAAAAGCUAAAUGCUAUCUCAAAUUAGACUGAAAUUCCAUCAUAUCCUGAGUUCGAAUCCUUCCUUUAUUUAAAUCAAUAUCUUGAUUACCAUUAAUCACCGAUCAUGAACUUUCACAAAUAAAAGUGUAAGAAAGCGAAUGAGAAUGAGAGUGAAUGUGAGUAAUACUGAGUGAAAAGGGGAAAACACCAGGAUUUAAAGUUCCAAAAGAGGCCUCAAUGGUCAAUUUGAGUAUUCGGGUUUCUCUUGAGCCGAUUUAGAUUGGUAUCGAUCAAAUUUUGUCCGAUACAACAUGAGUUUUCAAGGUACUGAACGACAUAUCAUCCAUACUUUGCUGAUACCUCACGUGAUUCUUGCAUACCAUCUAAAACAGGCUUAUCACUUUCCAAUCAGUGGGCAAACCAGUACAGCUCGUUUCAUGUUAUUUUGGAUGGUAUGCCAUGCAAUGCAUCAAAUCUUGAUUGCAUAUACUGUUUGAUUUUCACUUUUCCAUUUAAUCUUUAUUCAUCAGUGAAAUAUCAUAUUCCUCUACUGUUGUAUACUUUAAUCACACAAAAAACAGAGAAAGACUCCAAUUUUUCCUUUUGCUCUGACAAACACAGAAACAGAAGGAUGAGGUGAUUCAGAAGUUUUUUCGGGAACAGAGUAUUAUUAGAACAAAACUUUAAGCAUCCUUCCAAAAAGCCACUACUCCUGGGUGGUGGAGCAGCAUAUUGAGGUGGUGCUAUUGCAGGAAGCCCAUGGUGAUACGAAGUGGAAAACUCAGAGCUCAAAGUGCCAAAUCAAUGAAGUUGAAGGAUGGUUACAUGAUUUCUUCUAGUCAGCCUAUCCAUGAAUACAGAGGUUUUGCUGUGAGGCAUCUUCUCCUCAGACAGGCUAUUCUGACACCAGAUGAGUAAACCACACUGACUCACACAAUCAAGCUGGUAUUGUCUACAAUGGCGGUUUGGUGCCUCUUCUUAAACUUCUUGACUCGAAAAAUGGAUGCUUGCAACAUAAUGCUGCAUUUGCUCUUUAUGGUAUUGCAGAGAAUGAGGAUAAUGUUUCUGAUUUUAUCAAGGUAGGAGGUGUUCAGAAGCUACAAGAUAGUGAAUUCAUUAACCAGGCAACUAAGGACUGUGUAGCAAAGACAAUAAAGAGAUUAGAGGAGAAGAUUAAUGGGCGAGUACUAAAUCAUUUAUUAUAUCUGAUGCGAGUUGGGGAGAAGGCUGUCCAAAGACGUAUAGCUUUGGCUCUUGCUCAUUUAUGUUCACCUGAGGAUCAAAGAACUAUUUUCAUCGAUGAUGAUGGUAUUGUAUCUGUCCAGCAACCAUGACAUCCUUCUGCUUUUCCUCCUUUUUAUAACUAAGGAAAUUAAGAAACAUAUUCUCAAUGUAGGACUUGAUUUUCUCCUCGAACUACUGGGAUCGAUUAAUCUAAAACAAUAGCAAGAUGCAUCAGUUGCUCUUUACAAGUUGGCUAAAAAAUCCCUGACUCUCUAUUCUGUUGAUGCAGCUUCUCUAUCUCCCUCAUCUCAGGUUUGCUAAAAUAGGCAUUCCUUAAUUUUGUUUCUAAGCACUUUUAGCAGUAAAACAUGUCCCAUAUUCACAGAAAUACAAAAACUUAUAAAAGGGUCAGAUUUUCAAUUCUUGGAGCUAGUUACUUGGAAUUUGAAAGUGCUUAUGUAAUUGCUUUGGCUAGUCUUCUAACUCAAAGUUUUUUUGAAUUGUCUGUCUUGACUCUUGAGACUGAUCAAACAUAAAUAUUACUUGAUCAGUAUAAACCUUUUUUCUAAUCGGAGAAUGAAAAUUGUUUUAUAGUUUUUUUAAUUCUUAUGGACAUAUUUUAAAAUUUAAUUUUUUUAAAAUUUCUGAAUAAAGCAUGACAUCAUUAGUUCUACAACUUAUUAUGUCUGAGGAGUGAUGCACUUGUCAGGGACAAGAAUAUGCUCUAUGUUGUGAAAUUUGUUUUUGUUUUGGAUUUUGCUGCAAGAAGCAUUAGUAAAUCCAUCCACUGUCUAACAUAGCACUAUGUCCAAUGCGUGGAAGUUUGAUGAAAACCUGUCAUGUGAACGGGCAGUUACUAUGCAUAGCUGCACAUAAGAGGAAAAGUCUGGGUUCUGCAAUCAUGGUAUUAUAAAUUCGUGAGACUUCACAAUGACAUAUGUAUUAAUCAAUAUUCACUUUUUUUUUUUGCAAUCAUAUGUAUUAAUCAUGUUUUGCAUAUGUAUUGAUGAUUGCUUUAAUAGGGCUUGGUUUCC